rnacentral:lncRNA from 1 species
GCCACUGGCCUACGCCACAGCCACAGCAACAUGGGAUCCAAGCCGUGUCUGUGAACUACACCACAGCUCACGGCAACACCAGAUCCUUAACCCGCUGAGCAAGGGCAGGGAUCAAACCCGCAACCUCAUGGUUCCUAGUCGGAUUCAUUAACCACUGCGCCAUGAUAGGAACUGCAAGAGUUCCUUGGCUUUGAGGGCUCCACGUGGCCUGAUGUCGUUUCCCCUUUUCCUCGCUUCUGGACCCCCAGCCUUCUGGCCAACGCUGCCAGGCAGGAGUCCAUCUGCCCACUCUCCUUAGGCCAGCCAUCAGACAUGCAGAUAAGUCAGGUUUGGUGGGGCGGCUGGCCAAGAGCAGGGAGAGGAGGCGGGUUGAACUGCUCAGGCUGCCGGGUCAAGUAAACACCAUCCCCAGGGGAGACGACAAGGAGGGCCAGCAAAGACGGGGACAGGCAGGUCAAGUCUAGGAAAGGAGUCUUGGGGAAUAAGGCCAUGGUGGGAGAAAAGCCCAGCCUGGCCUCACACGUCUAUGACCCGGCUAUGUCUGUGUGUCCUUUUCAGACUGUCAUUAUUUCUUUGUGGGUGAUUUGGAUCCCCAACUAUCUCCUCCACCUACCCAUGAGCCCUGCAAGGGCAGGGAUGGGGUCAGUGUUGACUCCUUCUGUGGCUCUACACGUAACCAUAAGGAGUGCUUAUGAAUGUUUGUUGAAUGACUGAGUGACUCCGUUAGUCAACAAACCCCACUAGUAUCCAUGAGGACACAGGUUUGAUCCCUGGCCUCGCUCAGUGGGUUAAGGAUCCAGCGUUGCCGUGAGCUGUGGUGGAGGUUGCAGAUGCGGCUCGGAUCCCGCAUUUCCAUGGCUGUGGUGUAGGCCAGGGGCUACAGCUUCCAUUGGACCCCUAGCCUGGGCACCUCCAUAGGCCGCGGAUGCGGCCCUAAAAAGACAAAACAAAACAAAACAAACAAAACACAUGAGGAGUUCCCUGGUGGCCCAGGUAUCAGGCCAGCCUGGUUUGCUGGAACCCAGGGUCUUGUUCCUGGUGACCAGCCAGAUCUAGGGACCCUGACACAGAAGGGUUUGCCAGGGCUGACAAGAUGCCCAGCAUCAGGAGGGGCCCGCGAAGUUUCCCCCGGCUGGGAGUGGGGAGCGAGGGCCUCCCAGCCAACCCGUGUGGUCACACACAUGCAGGGAGCCUGCCUGGGGCUAGAGGGCUGGCCAGGAGCCAGAGCCUUCUCCUACUCAGUGACAGCCCCCUGCUUGCUUCCAGCCGCCCUCACUCCUUUUCCCUGGGUCUUCCUGGAGGGAUCAGCCCAGACCGAGGGCCGUUUGCCAGGGGCCACUGCAUCUCCAGGAGAAGACAGAGACCCAGGCUCCCAGGAUGCAUCCCUGGGCCCUGCAAAUUGCUUCCCACCCACCAGCUUGGCCCAGUUCAAUUCAUAGCAAUAUGACAGUCCUUCUAGGCUGGCAGCCCCAGUCCACUCAAGGCGAAGCUAAAGGGGGGAAAAGGGUCCCGCAGAAACAGGACUCCCUCUGCCCCCCCCAUCCCCACCUCCUCCAACUUUUUGGCCCCACGCCAGGCUUCUGGGCAUGGGAACCUCUCAGUGUCGUGGGGAAGGGAAGCAUUGUCCAAGUGGUUCCACACUGUUGAGUCACUGGAGCUCUGUGGUCACGUCUGUCCAUCUGUGCCCAGGCAAGGGUCCCCAUUAACUGGAAGGUGACUGUGAGCAAAGGACCUGGUGCAGGCUCAGGAUACACACAGCAGGAGGGGGUUCAGAGGCCUGCUGACAGACCCCAGCUGCCAUGUCCCCAGUGUGGAGACUCCUGCAUGGCAGGUGCUAGCAGACAGCACCCCCAGGAGAGCCACACCCCAUCCCCCCACACCUCCAGGGAAACACCCAGUACCGACCACCAAUCAGACAGACAUGCCAACGGUGCACAGCCAGGCUUGCUCAGCUUGGGAUCGGGAAGACCCAGAGCCCAGGGCAGAGCCUUGAACUCUGCCCUGCUCUCCGCCAGACCCUUCCCUAAGCUGCAGGCUUCCUGCUCCAGCAAGAAGACCCACCCCCUCCCCAGAGAACAAUGACUCCAUCCUUGUCCCUCUGACUCCAGCUUUCCUGGCCUCCCCCAGCCUCCAGACAUACCCCAGGGGCUCUGGUCUCAAAGGAGCCCAACCCAAUCGCACAUUUCCGAGUAAAAGGGAACAAAAGGCCCCUGCCUGAGGAGGUGGAAGGGUGAGCCCAGAAGAACGGGCCAACUGCACCUCUGGGACAGAGGCCCAGGGAGGGGUCUCCUCUCUGCUCCGGCUCCAGCAGUGCAGCCACCAAGCCCUCUGAGGCCAGGAGUAACUUGUACCUACCCUGGUUGGAAAUGAAACGUGGUGAGACAUGUAGCGAGGGCUGAACCAUGGACAAUCUCCAUGGCUUUACAAGGAACACAUUAGGCCUAGAGAAGGUGCUGGGGGUGCUGAGGGGCUGGGAGGCAAAGGCGCAGGCAAGUCAAUCCCCUCACCGGCAGCCCCCUCCUUCUGGUGCAACCAGAGGCCCACCAACUGUCUCCCCUGAGCCCCCGAGCUCCUUAAGCGGAGCCCCAGUGCCCAGGGCUAGGGUGACAGGUGAUCCUGGGGUCCCUGUCUCCCCCGGGCCGCGGAUAUAGUCACGCGGGUGUGUGGGUCGCUCACCCUGACUCUGCGCAGCUGCGCAGAGGGAGCGGGGAGAAGGCAGCGCAACUUGAUGCUGACUCAUCUCAAGCUAUUACGUGCAGCGACCCCUUCAGGACUCGCCUUUUGGGGGGCGGGAACGAGAUCGCUCAGUUCUCCGAGGCCGGCCUAGAGGCCCAGGUGCAGGGGUUUGGGUGCAGGGGGUGUCGCCGCUAGGGCUCGGCUGGGACUGGGGGCGUCCUGCCUCCACCUUCCUCCCCCCGCCAGCUCUGUCACGCUCGGCCGACUCCACAAGAGGCACCGUGGGUCUCGACUCUUCCCCUGCACGGGUCACGUUCUUGAAGUCCGCCGAAUGGGGCCCCCCCCGCCCCCGCCCCCUUGGACGCCAGGGUCUCUGCCAGGGACUGGAUGUAAUCAUAAAUCACCACCCGCCCCCCCGCGUGCUGGGCACUGGCGUGUUGGGCGGGCGCGGACUGGGGGCCACGGGAUGCGGACGCGGACCAGUGGGUGCCACGGGGAAGCACAGCCAAGGCGCGAGGCGGCACCGCAGGGCUGGGGCUGAGCGGGCCGGGGGGCGGGGCCGCGACCGAGGGGCGGGGGCGUCGCCGCCUCGGAGGCCUCGGGGUUGGGCGCGCCCCUCAGACCCGCCCCAGCGCACUCACAGCGCGGAGCCAGCGCGGCCCCUGCUGGUCUGUGCUGCGCACGGUCCCUGCGCCCGAUCCCCGGGAAGGGGACCCUAAGGACCGACGGACUCAGACGGGGUCUUAACGCUAAGCCCCCUACCAGGGCUGUGCGGGGAGUAAAGCCACGGUGGCUAACUUAGCAGUGACCUUCGCAGACCUCUCCAGGCUCCCUCGUCCACUUGCCAGCAGUGCCCACAUGCAUGCAAGGGCUCAGCGGUCCUAGGACCUACCCCUAGCAGCACGCCCACCAGGGUCAGGGCUCUUCCUGGUACUUGUCGCUCAGACAAAGAAAGCACAGCUUUGGAUGAGGGACUGUCUCAAGCAUUGCCAAUUCACUCAUCUGUUCCACAUUUAUUGAGCGCUGGGGCGGGGGGGGUGGCGGGGGCCUGCCUCCGGACUGAGGAUCAGCAGAGUCCCAGAUUUCCUCUUUCUCCCACUUUGCCCCACGUUCCCCUGCCCUGCUGUGCCCUGGCCUGGCAGUGCAAACCUUAGCUUGGAUGGCUGUGUCCUGGAGGCUCCAUCCAACAAGCAAGGGAGCACAGGUAAAGGGCAGAGGGGGCUGGCCUCUCAAAGAGCCUUUAUUUCUCAAGAAGGAAUGAGGCUGCAGGCCAAAGGCUAUGCUGUAACCCCGCAGUGGGGGGGGGGGAGUUUAUGAUUACAUCCAGUCCCUGGCAGAGACCCUGCCCAGAGCCAUCCAUUGCCAGGCUCCUGGUGUGAGGGACCUUGGAGUCCUGGGGCUCCCCCUUGUCACCUCACUCCUCCAAGGGCACUGCUUGCCAGCCUCCACUGCCCCGUAAACCAGAAUGAGUGUGGGGCCCCUGGGGUGCAGGCAGCUAGGCACUGCUGCUCCUGCUCUCCUACCAGACAUGCCCACCGGGGCAUCAGCAGGUCCUUCUGCCCACCUUGCUACAGGUCUGUGCCCAGAGAGGCAGCACAGCCUGGACACAUUGGCCCAAUUUGUAGGAAGAGGCCAGUUGCUCUUGGGCCAAGUUCACUCUCAGGGACACCGUGGACCAGGAUACAGAGCCAGGAAUGCUGGGAGAAGUGAGCAAAGUCCAAGGAGGCCCACGGGCCCCAGAGCCCAAGCUCCCUGCUGACGUGCAACUGGCUCCAGCCCCAGCCCAGCCACCUUCCACAUGCCUGCUGCCAUCGGGCUGAACUCAAGCGGCAGCCGCCUUCCUUCCCAGAGCUACUUCCUCAUGAGGGGUAAGUGAGGACAGGGACAGGUGUGGGGAGAGAGGACAUGAGGUUGAGGAGCCUCAGGCAAGGCCAUCACCUCUCUGGGCCUCCUGUCCCCCCUGAAAAUGAACACCUGCCCCUAGGCUUAGGGGAGACUUUCAGGGUGGUGAUUCUUGUGAAGAUGCACCAAGCUCUCACUGCUCACCCACCGUGGACACACCUGGGCCAGCGCUGGGCUGUGACAGUGCCUCAGGGCUGGUGAUGACCCUGACUCCACUUUAGCCAAUGACCAGCUUGGGACACAGAGGGGAAGCCGGUCAGAGACACAAGCUGGAAACACAGGGUGGGGGACCCAUUCUCUGCAACCCCAGGUAGGGGGGUCCCUAGCAGCUGCCAUCAGUGGUGGCUGCCAGCAGAGCAGAGAUGGAUGUGUUUUCUAGACAAGGAGGCUGCCACACUGUGUGUGUAUGUGUGUGUAUGUGUGUGUGGGUGGCAGGGGGACAAGCAGCAGGAAGCCCCUUCUGCAUGGGUUCCUCUGCCUUGGCCUCCCUGGUACUUUGUCGAUACCGCCCCCUCCCCCCUGCCACGUACACACCUCUGCUUGGUGUCUCAGCUCCAGCCCAUGUGCUCGGAACACAUGCAGCCACGCCACCAUCUUCCUGUGCCCUCACCCAACAAGGGCACAGGCUGGGUUCCACAGGAAGGUGAAGUGCUCCACUCAAGGUCGCAGCGUUAGGUGGAGGCUCACCAAGGGCCAGAGCAGAGACGCUGGCCUGUGGCUGGGAAGGGCCCCAUCACCAAGGAGCA